UACAGAGACCUCAAGCGUUAUCCGGAAUCAUUGGGCGUAAAGCGUACCGAUAGGUGGUUUUACAAGUCAGAAGUGAAAUCUCAAGGCUCAACCUUGAGACUGUCUUUUGAAACUGUAAAACUAGAGGGGCAAAGAGGAAGCUGGAACGAACGGUGUAGUAGUGAAAUGCGUUGAUAUCGUUCGGAACACCAAUAGCGUAGGCAGGCUUCUGGGUGCCACCUGACACUGCUAGGACGAAAGCGUGGGGAGCGAAUGGG
rnacentral:rRNA from 1 species